AUGUCUGCAGGUUUCCUGGCGUCUCUGAAGCUACCCAGCUACGAGGAGAUCGCGGCCCAGCCGUCCACCCCCCCUCCCCCCUACAGCUCGGUGUUCACCUCCCCCCGCUACCCCCAGCCCCCCACCGCCCCGGACCCCCACCUCCUCACACACCACCAGCGCCCCCAGCUGGCCCACUGCAGCGACAUGCUGUCCUCCCUCAGCUCCGACAACAGCUCCAGCUGCUCCUGUGACUCCUGCUGCCCGUCGUCUCCAUGUAGCUCCUCCCUCUCGGUGAACGUCACCUACGAGACGGACACAAGCCACGCCUCCACGCCCUGCGGCGUGCCCCCCCUCCCCCUGCACGUCACCGCGGAGACCGUUGCCUCGGAGGUGGCCCUAGAGGCAGUGCGCCGGGCCCAGUCCAUGGUGGUGGUCGUGGAGACGGUCGCCGUGGCUACCGCUGACCCCGGCGACAACAACGAAGGAGGCGUGUCAGGGAGCGUCGCGGACGAGGUGACGGUCACCGGGGAGACCGCGGCGUCGGUAACCACGGCGACGGGAAUUGUGUCGUCGGUAGCGCCGCACACUCCCGGAGAAGACGACGCUCGCACCGCGUCUCCCAUAAUGCCUCAGUCUGACCUGGCCGCCUGCGUCUCCAAAGCCAUCGUAAUCCUGACCGGUCAGAACCCCGGGAGGGAGCGAGCCUGUCCAGGAGAAACGGUCGCUGCAGAGGGACUUCCUGCCCCAAGCCCUGACCUCGUCGCUCCACUAAACCCUAGCCCUGACCCUAACCACGCCCCUACUAUAAGCCACACCCCCAACCUUAACCACACCCCUACAGAUAAGGCCCAAGCUGACCCUAACCCCACACCUAUUCUAAGACCCACCUCUGACCCUAGCCCCGCCCCUAACUUAAGCCCCGCCCCUGGAAGGGGUGAAGGCCCACCGUCCAUCCAGACCUGCAUCCCAACCUCUGGAGCCGAACAGCACAGGCCGGCCUCCCCCCCCUCUCCCCCCUCCUCCCCCCCUCCCCCAGUGCUGCUCCUGGCCCCCACGCUGGACUCCCUGCUGGCUCCGCCGGUGAGCCGGUCAGCCAAGACCUCCCUCUCUCCCUCCCCCCGGCCCACCCACUCCGCCACCAAGCAGACCCUCUUCUCCCCCUGCGUGGACGUCUACGAGGCCGGACCCCCCAGCUGGGGGCGGGCGCCGGGGGGGGAUCAGGAGGAGGAGGAGGAGGAGCAGGAGGAGGAGGAGGGGCGGGACGAAGACGACGUGGGCGCUGACGAGAGUCAGUACCGCCACCGCCGGCUGACGGGAGACUCGGGGAUCGAGGUGUGCCGCUGUCGCAUGGAGGAGGAGGAGGAGGAGGAAGAGGAGGAGGAUGACGACAACGACGACGAAGAGGAGGAGAAGGAGAGUGGAGGAGGAGGAGGAGGGAAGGAGUCUCUGAGGAGUGGAGGGGAGGGCGGGAGACAAGGAAGUGAUGUCACCGUCGUGCUCCACGACAGCGCCGACUGUCCAGCGCGGGCUCUGGUGCCGACCCCGCCGUGUAGCUCCUCCCCCAACGCCACGCCCACGUCCGCCCCCCUCAAAGACCCCGGCGAGGUCAUUAUCGUCGUGGAGACAGUGUGA
rnacentral:lncRNA from 1 species